rnacentral:lncRNA from 12 species
GUCCAGUGCUAUGAAAAUGUAUCCCUUCCUGUUUGGUAACUGCUUAGGAUCACUUUGAUUUUGAUUUUUCAGGGCUGUCAGCACGUUCUGGAUUGCAAAUCCAAACAACAACUUAAUAGAGAAUGCAGCAGCUGGUGCUCAGGAUGCUGGGAUGUGCUGCCUCCUCCACUGGGUCCCCACUGGACAGUCUGAGGGAAGAUAUCCGGAGGGACAGGCUGAACAUACCCUCCUGGGAGUGUUUUACCACUCCAAUUCCGAGGCUGGUUUGUUUAUUGGAAAAGGAGUAAAGACAACGAGAGCCAAUGCUGAGGAUCCCAGGGAGCAUCCCACUGUUGAUAAUGCCAGGUUUUGCCCACAUUAAGAUGCUGAUCCUGAAAAGCCAUGAGUUCCUGCCAUGAUUGAUGGUCUUAUUGCACUUAAAAAUAAUGACAUGGGGCCUGGGCCAGAGGUGGUGACAUUAUUUUCCACAACUGAAGGUAGGUUACUGUUAUAUCAUUCCACCCCCAACAAGCAUAAAUAGGUCUGUAGGCCAAAUUCACUGCAGACAUUCCUCAUCAUUUACACCACUGUGUUUCCUCUGUCCUGGGUUCUCA